CUGGGCGUAAAGAGCUCGUAGGUGGUUUGUCGCGUUGUUCGUGAAAUCUCACGGCUUAACUGUGAGCGUGCGGGCGAUACGGGCAGACUUGAGUACUGCAGGGGAGACUGGAAUUCCUGGUGUAGCGGUGGAAUGCGCAGAUAUCAGGAGGAACACCGGUGGCGAAGGCGGGUCUCUGGGCAGUAACUGACGCUGAGGAGCGAAAGCGUGGGGAGCGAACAGGAUUAGAUACCCUGGUAGUCCACGCCGUAAACGGUGGGUACUAGGUGUGGGUUUCCUUCCUUGGGAUCCGUGCCGUAGCUAACGCAUUAAGUACCCCGCCUGGGGAGUACGGCCGCAAGGCUAAAACUCAAAGAAAUUGACGGGGGCCCGCACAAGCGGCGGAGCAUGUGGAUUAAUUCGAUGCAACGCGAAGAACCUUACCUGGGUUUGACAUGCACAGGACGCCGGCAGAGAUGUCGGUUCCCUUGUGGCCUGUGUGCAGGUGGUGCAUGGCUGUCGUCAGCUCGUGUCGUGAGAUGUUGGGUUAAGUCCCGCAACGAGCGCAACCCUUGUCUCAUGUUGCCAGCGGGUAAUGCCGGGGACUCGUGAGAGACUGCCGGGGUCAACUCGGAGGAAGGUGGGGAUGACGUCAAGUCAUCAUGCCCCUUAUGUCCAGGGCUUCACACAUGCUACAAUGGCCGGUACAAAGGGCUGCGAUGCCGCGAGGUUAAGCGAAUCCUUUUAAAGCCGGUCUCAGUUCGGAUCGGGGUCUGCAACUCGACCCCGUGAAGUCGGAGUCGCUAGUAAUCGCAG
rnacentral:rRNA from 1 species